GGGAAAGAAGAGAGACCAGAUAUCCAGGCAAGGAGAUAAAUAAAGGGUAUUUGAAGGAAGGACCUUAAAGAUCAUGCCAUUCUUUCUUAGCAUGGAAGGUAAGGGACUCAUGGCUAAUGUUAGAACUCAAAACGAGUGUCAAGUUUUAAAACGUUAAAGUACAAAGAAAUUACCUGGGAAAUGAAUAAAAA